ACCCGACUUGAUAAGAAAAACGGUCAGCUCAAACAUCACUUCCAACUGUCAAUUCAAAUCUACUCGCCGAAACUACCUGCCGCAAAGUGACGCUGCAAAAAAACAGAAUGCGUAGAAUGGGCGAAAUCAAACGCAACAAUGAGACCGCUUCCAACUGUCAGAAAUACUUCCGAGAAGAGUGCCAAACCAGAAAGCAGAACGGACACAUUUUGCUCAACGCGGUGCGGAUUAGAUUGAACUACUUCGAAAAGCACUGGAAAGUGCGAGUUCGUGGAAAAGCAGUAACAGAAACACUUUAAUACGCAGUUACGACGGACAGGUAAAUCUCGACAAGCAAAGAGCAAUAUCGAGCAAACAACGUGGUGGCACUGUCUUUCCCCGUACUCACGAUAGCACGACGCACACGGACUUGCAUUUGAAGAACCAAUUUGUUCACUGGAUCAGGACUCUGCAUGAGAGACCACGUCACGAACCCGUGUUGGUCAAUAAUCACGUAUCUCGAUUAGACAGAAGCGAAGGGGAUCGUCAAGGUCCCCUUACUUUACAGAUCGGACUUCGGUGUACCGUGUUGGCGACCCACUGUCAUGUGAUGGCGAUGACCGUGUAGUAUUCGUGAACUGAAGGCAGCAGUGUGCCUUAUCAGCUGGUUUGUGAAAGGAGCGAGAGCACUCUACCCGUGUGCUGAUUUACCGUACAGUGACGCUGGAAUGAACCAGUUCGAAGAUUGCAGCGGCUAACGAAUCGGGAGUGGCAACAUUGCGCGAAGAGCUGGUUAGUUUUGCAUGCUGGCAUUUAGGAAGGUUAGCGGCAGUGAGGCGGAGGUUGGAUGAUUGGCUGGCGAGAAUAAACAUAAUCGGGAUGGCGAUGGCAUGAGUAAGUGAAGAGCGGGAGAGAAAUGCAUGCAGGAACAUAAGGUUAGUGACCGGUACCGAGGAGGAUGUUAGAGGCUAAGGAAUAAAUAGUAAUGAAAGUAAAUGAAAAUGCAUGUUAGAAUUAGGUAAUAGUAAGAGGAGAAAGAAAUAAGUUGAGGGAGAAAAUUAGGAGAGAGAAGGAGAAGAUGGAAUGUCGGGGGAUAGCAUGUAGGAUUGAAUACAUUAUCAUGUGACAGUAUCGUAACACCUUUUUAUUUGAGUUGGUGCACAUUGCCCUUAGUGUUUGUGUUUUGGUCCACUUUGGGUAGUUCUGCUCUACCCACAGCUAAAACAUUGUAACAAAGCAUAGCUGGGAUGAAAUGUAACGGUAGCUUAUAAAUUAUAGUUAAUUCUAUAUCACAAAAAAGAUGUGGUGAUUGAAAACCGAAAAUAACUGUUUCGUAACUAGUUAUGUUAUGAAGAAACAUUGCCGUCACCUUGUUUUACUCAGUGCUCUUGUUGCAACAUAGUUUGGACUUACACAUAUCAGAAUUAGUUACGAAUUGUUACUUGGGUAGUAACCGGUUAAACGAAUCCAUGGAAUACAUGAAUACAAAACCAUACAAUAGGUAAUACUUUGGCAUUGAUUUCAAAUAAAUUCGAACGUUUUUAUCUCUGUGCCCUUCUUUUCUUAUGUUGGGGUCAUUUUACACCCUUUCUUUAUAAAUACCCAAAUGGCACUCUCGAGUAGCAAGAAAUAUCUAAACUGUUAUUUUGUUAGGCAAACUAUCGCAUAUAAGGGAAUGGGGGCAAGGCAGUAUAUGCUUGAUAUUUUUUUUGGAUUAUGGUGCCAUCUACCAAAAUAAUUUGGAAUUUCGUGUUGAAACAUCCUCGGACUUUAACAUGCGUAACCGCUUUAUUUCGAUGUGCCGUUAUAAUCGUUAAAGAUUUUCAAUCGCAUGUAAGUAGUUAUCUCAAACCAUAUUAAAUAAAACUUAGUUUCGUAGUGUUUCUUAGUGCUUAUUUUGUGCUCCUAUAACUUAUUAUUAAUAAAACUUUCAUUGUGUUCAGUGACGUGUAACAUUAUUUUGACUGUGUGGGUGCAAACUCUAAUUCAUCCUACUGACACAAUUUCG